rnacentral:antisense_RNA from 1 species
UGUGGUAUAUCCGAACUGGCACCAUACGACCAAAAGAGAGUGGCUAUUUAAAAGCUAUUUAUGCAGGGAAGGAUAUUACGGAUUGCGAUGAAAUGGUGCGUCCGAGUGGACUCGAACCACCGACCCCCACCA